GUUCGAUCAUCAGACCUCAACCAAUCCAUCACAAUCGCCAACCCCGCGCCCGCCCUUCCCCUCACGCCGCCGCAUCCCUCGCCCUCGCCUCCGCUCAGCGCUCACCCUCACCUCCGCUCGCCAAUCGCGUCCUCGCCCACGCCCAGCGCACGCCGCUCGCCGCUCGCCGCCAUCGACAAGUGCGGAUCACCGGCUCUCCGCUUCGCCAUCGACGCAUCGUGCCCUCGCGCCGGCGGGCGGAAUGGCAGGCGCGGUGGCUACCCGCGGCGGCCUCUCCUCCAACCCUCCUCCGUGCCGGGAACCUGAGUUGUGGGGGCCGAGCCCCCUCAUCCUUCGGAGCUCCGAUCUAGGAUACCGCCGCCCUCCCACAACUCUCCGUCUCCUGCGCAGAUCCUCUCCUCCCUCAUUCGCGAGGCGCAGGCGGAUCGACGUGCAGCCGCGCACCAACCGCGCGCUCGGCACCCUCCCUCAUCUGCCGCCGAGAACGCGAGGUUGGCCGUCCGCCGCCGCCGCCGCCCUCCGCAGUGAGGUACUGCUAUCCGCCCGCGCGAGGAGGCGGGUCGCCCGGUGCCGGCGACAGCUUGCAGGAGAUGGGCACGCCACCAGCUCGAGCAAGGAGCACUUGCCGCCAUCAACCCAUCCGUCGCCGCUCUCCGUGUUCCCGUCCACCCGCGUGAGGAGUUUCUCAGGGCGGAUCGGGCUGGCCUCUCCUUCGACCAAAUCGUAGCAGCCCUAUAGAUUCACUGAUGGAGCAGCUCGUCGUCCCCUCCUCCCUCGCGGCCUCCUCGUCGCCCCACCUGCCGUGCCACCGCCGCCACGCAGCUCCCUCACCUUGCCGCCGGCUUCAGGCAGUUGGCGGCUUCGGGUGCGCAAGGCCGGAGUCCACAGGCGUCGCCGUCAACUUCCGCACGCCGCAGUUCAAGCUCCUAGAGCCACUGACCGAGAAGCUCUGGACGUUGAAUGAUUUCGAGGGCAACCCUGCACUUCAAGUCAGUCACUCUUUCUGUAUAGCUUGCGCUAAAUGUAUCUACUUGCAGCUUGUUACUGAAGAAACACCUCUGUGCAUCAUCUAUAGUACUGGCUGUUAAUCGUGCAGGCUUGGGGAUGUCUAGCUAGAUGUAAAGCUACUGACUUCUAGAGUUGAAGUGAUGAAAUGCAGGAACUUAGUGGGUAUGCACUAUGCAGGCAAUGUUUUUGGUUUGCCUGUCAGUUGACCCAUGACAAUUUCUAUGCUCUGUAAUUUGUAUCUGCUAUGGAUCAAUUAUUCGUUAGGAGUUGCAUAUUUGACUAUAGACCCUACAGAACUGUGAUAAAUAUAGAGUCCUAAUUUGGUAUUGUAACAGUAGUAUUUUCAUCACAGUAAAACACCCGUGAUAUUGCAAGAAUGGUUUCAUGACAGAGGUAACUUUUCUUAAAGAUACUUUCUGAUUCAACCUGUGUUCAUCAAUGAGCUAUGCAAAGCAGAUACUUGCUGGAGAAUUUAGGUUUAGUCAAUUGCUAUAGUCAGGUUCAGAUCUUGUUCAUAUUGUGACUUUAGCAGGACAAAAGAUAUUUGGAGCUAUAAUCAUUAUAAUACAAUACUCACAUUUUGUUUUGUAAAUAUUUUAGUAUAAAGUAACUGUAUUUACCAAAGAGAGUACAAGAUAAUCUAUAUCUUUUGGUUUAUUUGGCUACAGGUUGAGGCUGCAUGGACACUAACAAAAAUUUCAUCAGACACAUCAGAGAGCGCCAAGGUGGUUGCGAUCUGGUGGAGAGUGGUGUUGUGCCCAUCCUUGUCAAUCUCCUAAACUUCCAGUGAGGAUGCUGAUGCUUAGAAAUGGGACAUGGACUCUAUCCAACUUCUGCAGUGGGAAGCCACAGCCAAACUUUGAUAAGGUUUCUAUCCGGGAUCAUGUUUAUUUUUGUUGUGUUGGCCAAAACUGAUUCUUUGAAUGAUCUUGCUUAUUUGCUUCUGGUCGAGUCGGUCUGUCCGCAAUGAGGUGCCUCAUCCACUCUCAGGAUGAGGUCCUAACAGAUGCCUGAUGGGCUGUUUUAUGCCUAUCCGAUGGACGUAAUGACAAGAUUCGACCUGUGAUUGACUCUGGCGUGUUCCCUUGCCUUAUGGAAUGAUUGUUGAGGGUUAGAAUGGCUUGUAGAGUAUCAUUUACUCACUCCUUUGCUCAACCAUCAAUCCGGAGGUUUUUAAAGUUUUUGAAAAGAAAUUUGUAAGUUCCUCGGAUGAUCUCUUGGAUCGCUCAAAAGUGUUUAAUUCCUCACCAAGGCCUUUUUAUGAGCCUUUCUUUUCCAUCCUACUCCUAAAGGUUUCUUUUUGGUGGAGCUGUAGGUAUGAAGGAUAUGAAGGCAAACCUGCUUCUCAUAUUUUGCUGAGUCAAAGACCGGAUCCAAAGAAGAAACAAGUCAUAAAUCUUAGUCAAGAUGUGCGGGUGUGUGGAUAUUUUUGGUGGAUGGUGGAGGAACUCCUUUGUAUGAUUUCUCGCUCCCUUGUACACUUUUUUUUUUUGGUACGGGCUAUAUUUUCUCCUCUUUCUUUUUUUUUUGAUAUGCCUUGUGGGCAUGUGGCAUACCUUCUUUGGGUAUGCAUCUUUUCUUUUCAUCAUUUUUUUGACA